rnacentral:rRNA from 1 species
UACCAGCACCCCGAGUGGUCGGGACGUUUUAUUGGGCCUAAAGCAUCCGUAGCCGGUUCUACAAGUCUUCCGUUAAAUCCAACUGCUUAACAGGUGGGCUGCGGAAGAUACUAUAGAGCUAGGAGGCGGGAGAGGCAAGCGGUACUCGAUGGGUAGGGGUAAAAUCCGUUGAUCCAUUGAAGACCACCAGUGGCGAAGGCGGCUGCCAGAACGCGCUCGACGGUGAGGGAUGAAAGCUGGGG